AGUGAGCGAAAUUGAGACCAAAGAAUUAAUUUAGUAGAUUGUGUUUUACGUAUAUGUUUUAAAAUCCAAAAUGAAAAAAAAAAAAGAAAAAAUGUCUA